GCCACGCUACUUUAUUUUUCAUUCUGCAAGAAGCUUCGGUCAAGAGUGGGGUUGUAUUUAUUUUCUUCUCCCUCGUUAUGGCUGGAUUCAGACGACUCCCAACUUUUGCAAUGGGAAUUCAGCCUGGAUAAAUUCCUUUCAAAUGGGUUGAGCAUUUCGCAACCGAACUUUCAACAACCAUGAAUCGUCUAUCAGACAUUCCUCGCAAGAUUUUCGAAGUUGGAAGAUGGCCUCCAAAACACUUACCGUUUGCUUGAACGCAGAAUAUUCUCAAUCACAAAGCGACCACGAAACGGCAUUUGCAAGCAUGGAACAAUUCUACCUGCCACGUGAUAAUCCAGCAACAAUUCUACCUGCCACGUGAUAAUCCAGGUCUUCUGCCCUGGUGGACGCUCCUCCUAGCAUCUCGGUGGAACAGGAUCUCGCAAAGGCACUUUGGGAAUCUUACAGCACGCUGGUUUCUCCCGCAGUACUGGUUGGGCCUGGUUCAUCACUCUUCUGUCUUAUCGGGACAUGGCAAUUCAUGAUCGCGUCCAUGAGGUCGAGCCCACGUCAUGUUGCCUGCAUACAUAAUUGCAUUACUACAUUUGAAUUUCAAAUGAAUUGAACUUAAA